UACAGAGGGGGAAGGCGAGAAACGGUAUUGCUGGACGAAAAGCGCGCGUAGGCCGUCGAGUAAGUCAGAUGUGAAAUCACCGGGCUUAACCUGGGAAUUGCAUUCGAUACUGUUUGGCUAGAGUGUGGAAGAGGGAAGCGGAAUUUCCGGUGUAGCGGUGAAAUGUUUAGAUAUCGGAAGGCACACCAGUGGCGAAGUGGGCUUCCUGGUCCAACACUGACGCUGAGGCUCGAAAGCGUGGUUAGCUAACAUG
rnacentral:rRNA from 1 species